CUGAUUUGGAGAUUGGCUUUGUGUUUCUAAAACAGAAAGAAGUUACAAAUUUUGUGGAAGAGAAGAGGAAUACUUCCAAGUACCAGCAUACAAAGAUAGAAUUUACUACAACCAAUGUUACAAAACAAGACACAGCAUCUAAUUUGAACAGUGGAAUGAGCAUGGUGACUGUGAUCCUGAUAAUAAUUAGUAUUUUGUUCGUCGUGGUAACAGCACUUCUCGUGUUAUCUUUAUGGCGAUGUGACGUAGUAAGGAAACAUAAUGAGAUUUCAGCUCUAAAUACUUCAUUAUGCGAACCUCUAACAGUUGAACCGAGGCCAGUCCUAGAUGAUACAGUUCCGGAAAAGAUCAAUGAAAAUAUAUCGUUAUGUAAGAAAAUGUGUUGGUCCGGAGAAUACAAGAUAUCAGAAUAUUCCAUUGAUCAUAAUCUGGGUACAUAUGUUUAAGAGCUUAAAUUAGUUUUUUUUAAAACAACUUAAACAAAUAUUUUGAUACCAUUGUUUGACAAGACGGUGUUCCAAUGAGAAUGGAAUAAGCGACACAAUCUGA